AUGAUCUGCACACUGCAGAGUGGAGAUAAAAAGCAAGAAGAAUUCAUCAUUUCCCUACUGACUAAGAAUUAUUUGCAGUUCUGUGGCCUGUGGAAUGAGAGGGCACAGACCUGGGGCCUGGAGGACAGACGGCAGAACUGCGGGGAUUCAGCCCUGGCCGCCUGUGAAGGUGAUUGGUAAACACUGCGCGCAGGACUCUGGGGGCCCAGAGCAAACUCCAGUUGCAAAACCACCACCUGCACCUGUGCACUGGCAACAAAUUGACAGUGCACAGAAUGGCCCUCUGAUUUGACUUUGCAAGUCUGGACUGUCACAGGUGAGGUUAAUUUCGGUAAGAUCCUGACGUGCUUGACAUUGGGGGCCAGAUUCCUGGGAAGCAGACUUGAAGAUAAAGAAGCUAUGCAAGUGUACUGGGGAGUGCUCUGGGACCCACACCUGUAGGGGAUACAGGACUGGGCCUUGGGGGAAGCCUGGCUGUGAUGUGGCCACAAAAACGGUGUUAGCUCAUCCCCUGGGGAGCUUUGAAGCUGGGGUGGCUCUGCAGAGUUGUCCUGAGUUGGGGUGAGAGUGCUGGGCUUUUAUACGUGAGCAUCUUCCAGCCACCGGACGCCAGAUUCCAGGGCGUCCAAACUUGCCUUUGAACAUCAGGGCCAAUCAAUAAAAUUGACAAAAUCAAACCCA
rnacentral:lncRNA from 1 species